rnacentral:misc_RNA from 1 species
CAGAGCUUCGAAGCCUAAGGAAAAGCAGCCGAAAGGAGAACUAUCCUUAGGAUUGAGAUCUCCACCCUUUGUUUACAUUACCUUUGUUGCUUUAGCAGGCCCGCUUUCGGGCCGCCGGCUUAGGCUGGCCAGUGCCUGCUAGAGGACCUAAAACUCAUAUUAUUAAUGUCGUCUGAGUACUAUAUAAUAGUUA